CAUUACCGAGUUCAUGCCCUUACGGGUAGACCUCCCACCCUAUGUUAUAUUACCUUUGUUGCUUUGGCGGGCCGCCCGGCUUCGGCCAGGCUACCGGCUCCAGCUGGUAAGCGCUCGCCAGAGGACCCUCAACUCUGAAUAUCAGUGUCGUCUGAGUACUAUAAAAUAGUUAAAACUUUCAACAACGGAUCUCUUGGUUCUGGCAUCGAUGAAGAACGCAGCGAAAUGCGAUAAGUAAUGUGAAUUGCAGAAUUCAGUGAAUCAUCGAAUCUUUGAACGCACAUUGCGCCCCUUGGUAUUCCGAGGGGCAUGCCUGUUCGAGCGUCAUUACAACCCUCAAGCACUGCUUGGUAUUGGGCUCCGCUGGCUCCAGCGGGCCUUAAAAUCAGUGGCGGCGCCGUUUGGGCUCUGAGCGUAGUAAAUAUCCUCGCUAUAGAGACCAGGCGGUUCUUGUCAUCAACCCCCAACUUUCUAAGUUUGACCUCGGAUCAGGUAGGGAUACCCGCUGAACUUAAGCAUAUCAA
rnacentral:rRNA from 1 species